GUCCACGCCGUAAACGAUGAGUGCUAGAUAUCGGGAAAUUUAUUUUUCGGUUUCGCAGCUAACGCAUUAAGCACUCCGCCUGGGUACUACGAUCGCAAGAUUAAAACUCAAAGGAAUUGACGGGGGCUCGCACAAGUGGUGGAGCAUGCGGUUUAAUUCGACGCUACGCGAAAAACCUUACCAACCCUUGACAUGGUGGUCGCGGGUCUCGGAGACGAGAUCCUUCAGUUCGGCUGGACCACACACAGGUGUUGCAUGGCUGUCGU
rnacentral:rRNA from 1 species